ensembl:lncRNA
UUUUUUCACUUUCGCUUGCUGCCAGGGAGAGGAGUGGGUGUGCUUCCAAGCCGUGCGCCUUCAUCAAAUAUACAAGAUCUGUGUGGGACAGCUUUUAAGGUCAAGCAGAAAGGAAGAUUUUCUUUUCUAAACAUCUGUCAACAACCACAUGGAAGAAAAGACAGUACUAGCAUAAUUUACUGUGCUUUCACUCAGUGAAAAAUGUUCUUUGGGUGCUAUGUCAUGACUUGUACUUCAAGCAAAGCUUUUCCCAGUGUACAGCAUUCACUGUGAUAAGAAUGAGCAGUUGCCAUUCCGCAGAUGGUAGAAGAACCAAUUCCAGUUUUUGGUGAACCUAGAGGUUACUGAUGACUUUGCUGGGUUCAAAACUCUAACCAGAUCUCCUGGUCAGCACAAUUAGGAAUCCAGGGAAUCAACUGAAAACCAAAAGUAUUGUGAAGCUGAGAGAUACUGUAUGAUAAAGUAGGAUUCUGUGGAGACACAAAGCUUAAAAGAGGAGACCACUUUUCAGGCUGAAUAAGUUUCACAAGUACUUCAUGAAUGUCUCUGGAAACCAAAAGGACUCAAUUAUGAUAUUUAACAGAAUUUUGUCCUCCUAGAUAUUGUCAGCUUUAUCUCUUUCUUCCAAAAGCAAGGUUGGUGUUUACAGCCUGUAAAAUAAGGUCUGUUUGUCUACUACAAAGUAGUAGUAGUAGGAGUAGGAGUAACUACAAACCUAAUCAGGGAAGGAAGUGUCAAAAUAUAUUUUAUCAAGUGUGAUUUCUUACUGUCAGUGUUUCUUGAUUAAUAGUAAAUAAGAUCUUAAAUGAAUGCAUGCAAUUUUUCUAAUGGAUAUUGUGGUUGGAUGGAAUUUUUACCUAGGAAGACAGAGAAUUUCCUGCAUGGACUGUAGUUCAGUGUGUGGAAGAAUCAACUCUGCAUCUCUGAUUUACAUCUGUUGUGGGACUUGGUUACUCAGUACCUCCUGUAAAGAUUGUUUGAAUGAAUAAUGAAGCAUUCAGAAAACCACAUUGCAAUAGACUUCAUUUUUCUUUUUUUAGAUGUUUAACCAAACUCUCCAAACUACCAGUUUCUUAUUUUAUGGUUUUUAGUUUGUUUUUAUUUCCCCACAAUGUUUAUACUGUGAAUGAAAGACCACCUAACAGAAUAUUCAGUGAAGUUCAGAUUUCUCUCUGGAGAUCACGUACUCUUCAUAAGGGGGAUAGGUAAGAUGAAUCUGUAUUUGCAUGUAUAAAAGUUGAAUAUGUCACAUAAGUGUACAAUCUAGCAUUAGAAGAUUGCCUACUCUGUCAUUUUUAAACAUAUUUAAGUCCCAGUUCCUUUCUGAUGUACAGCAGAAAACAAGUAGUUGAAACCAGUAUUUGCAAUAAAACAAAUUACUUUUUAUUUUUUAUUUCCCCACUGUUCAAAUUGAGUUUUGUGCUGUUAUUUAUUUUCCUAGCCAUCUACCCAAGUUUGAAAGCACCGAAAAGCAUAAUUUCUGAUACUUUUUUGUAUGGUAUGCAAGAAGAGUUUUUAAAAGACAACUUAUUUUAUAUUCAUGUCAGCAAAAUAGUAGCCAGAUUUCAGGAGUUUAGCAGUUGAUGUGCUGAGCUUCAGGAAAAAAUCUGUAUCUAAUGCACCUCUGGACAAAAUCUUAUGAUGAAAGACACUCACUCACUUCAAAAAAUUGGCUCAUAAUAUAUUACUGUAAGGACUGGUGUAGUCCAGUCUCUGGUUAUGAAAUAGUACUCUCCAAUUAUUAUAUACAAAUGUAAAAUAGAUAUGAGUUAGUUAGCUCAUUGUUAGAUUUUAUAUGUUAUUUUUGCCAUUAACUUCACUACAUUGAAUAUUAGACCUGUCAUUUUAUUAUUAUUAUUAUUAUUAGUUUUUGAAUUGAAAGAAUCUGUCUUUCAUGUUUGGUGACACAGAAAUACUCAGGCAACAGGAUACCACUUACAUAUCAUUAGCAAAGGUGGUGAGUAAACUUUCUACACUUUUGCAGACAGUAGACACACAUACUCACAACUUGUUCAGAAUUCAUCUUCCUUGGAGGGGGUUCCUGAAAAAAAAAACACUGAUGCAAACGAUAUGUUAAAAAAGAUCAAUGACAAAAUGUCACUGAGAAUCAAACUCUUGUAAAGAUCCUUAGAGUAGCAGAAUAUGAAGGGAAAGUGAUGCAGUAGCACUGCUUUUAUCUCUUUGAUCCUAUGUUUAAGACUAGCACGGGCCUGCAGCAGUGCUUAAAUUGUAAUACUGUUACAAGAGCAGCUAUUGACUUUGGCAUUAUUGAGAAUCUAAUAGCGUUUAUUGGAAUCAGCUCUUACUGAUUUUUAACGCUGACAAAAUUUCUGUUAGGGUACAUCUAGGGAUGGUUUCACAGGAACUUCUCCUAAUUCUCAGGAAAAACAGUAACAACAACAACGACAAAAACCCUAGAAUUGUGCAAAGAGUAUAUGUAGGAGUUUAUAACUGACCAGACAGAGAUAGUCACAUUUUUUCAUUUAUUUCCACAUAAUGGCCGGAAAAAGAGCAGAUGAAAAAUGAUAAUCCAUAAAGGUAUUUUUCUUACUUUCCUAGGGUUCACAAAUCUGUAUUUUUUAUUUAAAACUUUUCUAGUUUAUUUAUUUGUGUGUGAAACACAGUAAAAGGACAAGAGUUUGAUUCCUAAAUAUGUAGAUAGGCUAUUCUAAGGAGCUACUUUGUUCUUCAUUCUGUGAUUAUGUCUAUGAUUUUGUUGUUAGAUCGUCUUCAAGUCAGGGGUAAUACUCAAGUGCUUACAUGAAUCCUUAUGCUAAGU